GUCAUUGCUAAUGAAUUAAUGUGGCAAACACAAGAAAAACAGCUAGCUUGGGGCAGUGAGGAAGUGUCUCAAGCCUGAAGCCAUUCAUGUAUCCUACUAUGCUAACUUUUCAUUUUCUUUUCCAAAUCUAAUUACCUUCUGAGUUCCUUUUCAUACAAUGGGUUUCACUAGCUGGCUCCUUCAGUGUCAGGGGAUACCAUGUUGUAGAGCAUGGUGGGAGAUGAUAGGGAUCCUUUGCAGUUGGAAUCUCAGAACUGGGAAAACUUCAGAGGAGUUACAAAAUAAAGUAGACAGAGACCCUUAAAAGAAAACCACCAUUGGUCAAAACACAGAAACCAACUGAGUGUGAGAUACCUGUCCUCAAUCGAUGCAACUACAUCUCAACCCAGAGUGUGUCCCUGAAGACAAGGUGGAAAGAUUGUAAUCACCAGGGGAAAAAGACUUCUGCUGUGAGAUAGUGUCAAGUGUCAUCUAGAUAGGACAAGGUGACUACACCCAUGAAAUCUCAACAAUGUGACAGCCUAAAGAAGACCGGCAUGAUAAUAAUACUACUUCAUAUAACAACAUGAAUGGGAAAAAUACCACAGGGCCCCACCCCCACAUGAAGAGUUGUAAGAGACUCAUGUCUGAUGAGAGAUGGAUAAUCAAUCUGGUUUUCUCCAGGAAGGAGCUCCCUGAGAGCUCAAGAGGUCAGUCAUAAAAACAUAUGCUUAUAAGCAACACUAAAUAGGUUCAGUAGGCUAUAUUUAUACUUUUGUAUGUAUGCAUUAAAAUAGUAAGGAAUAUGACAUUAAACUGAGGAACAAUAGCUUUUAGAAGCUUUUAAAAAUUAUAUGAUAUUACUACUACUAUUACUACUACUACUACUACUUUUACUUCCAAUACUACUACUACUACGACUAAAGAAUAGAAACAGUACCCACUGAUGUCUCAUCAUAUGGGCACUCAUCUAAAACUGAAAGCCUACAGGGAUGCUCUACAACAGGGCUGCCCAUUGCAACUUUCUACAAGGAGGGAGAUGAGCUUCAUCUAUGUUGUUCCAUACAGAAGACACUCACCACAUAAAGCAAGAGAGCACUUGACAGGUAACUGGUGUGUCUGUAGAGAAGAUUUUAAAUUUGGCUACAUUUAAGAAAUAACUUAUGAAGCUGGGGAGUUGGCAGUGGAUUCAAUCCUCUUUCGGUUGAUUCAGAUUCAGUUACUUGUACUCCUGUGGUGGGUCACAACCAUUCUUAACUCCAGUUCUGGUAGAUCCAGAACUCUCCUCUAACGUCUGUGUGAAUCAGGCAUGCAUGUGGUACACACACAUACAUGCAGGUAAAAUAUUCAUAUACAUAAAAUUUGAAAAAUCGUCAAAAAUUAAUGUACCAAAAAAAGAGUCACUUGGAGCUAGUGGCACCUGUAUGGUAUAGCCCAGCCCCUAGGAAUUUUUUCCCAAAUUCAAGAUGGAAAUUUAAAACAUUAUUAGUAAUGGCUUAGUAUUAGUGAGAACAUAUUUCUAAGAUUAUAAAUAUGUAUUCAUCUAAAACAUUUAUGAUUUUAUCUCUUUGAAAAUUUUGAUUGUAUAAAUUAUACAGAUCACUGGAAUUCAAUGCAAAAUUUCAAUAUAUAUACAUACAAUGUGCACUGAUCAAAUCCAGUCUCCCUUUAUUUAUCUCCCUACCAUCAAGCUCUAAUACAUAUCUUUCUAUAAGCAGAUCAGAUUUUACUUUCUAAUUUCUACUUUUGAGUAUAUGCCCAAAGAAAUGGGAUCAGUAUGCCACAAAGAUAACUGCACUCCCAUGUUUAUCACAGUGCUAUUCACAACAGCUGAGAUGUGGAAUCAAUCUGGGUUCCCAAGCAUGUAUGAGUUUAUAAAAACAAUGUGGUUAGAUGUGAAAGAGAUAUUCCUAAGAAGACUAAAAGACAUCAAACAUACCACAAAAUUCUGUCUAGAGAACCCAAGAGGUGUCACAUUUGGAAAACCAGUCUUAAGAAUUUGUGUAAAGGGGGAGAUAAAUGCAUGAAUAGUAUCAAUGUAUGACAGCAAUAUCGAAAGUAUGAAAAGAGCGAGAAGUAAUGGUAUUCAGAAUAGCAACCAGAGAAAUUAAAAACUUCUUUUAGAUAUCAGAAGCAAAAGGAUAUAUUAUAGCUUAUCCAGAAAAUGAUAGCAUAAAUCUACUGCUGAGAAUCAUACAGAUGUCUUGGAAAUCCCUUCUCUUCCAACUUUUCAUAUUAACAUUAACCACUCCCUCCAGAAAGGAAAGCAAAUACCACAUUAGGAAUCUGUUUCAGCUCGUUUUAACAGGACCAUUAUACUAUGUUGAUUACUUAUUUUCUACUUCUUUUUUCUGGGCAAAGAAACCAAGGUGUGUUGAGGUUAAGUAAACUGUCUAAAAUGUCAUGUGAGAAAAAAAAUGGUGCUCUGGGAUGACCUCUUUCAACAAAGCCAGUUCCAUGACAUUAAACAUGUCUGCCUGUGUUUAUUUCCCUUAUCGCCUUUCUUUUCCACACACACCUUGCUAUAUUAUCUGUAUAUCGAUGUCUUAUUUAAUACAUCUCCUUUGGCAUCACAGAGGGCAUGGAGGCCCAAACUCUUAGCAACCUUUGAAAAAAAUGUCACAGUCUGCAGUUGAUGUGGGCUAAAACAUCAUCUAGAAAAGGAAGCUUGUGUCACAUUAAACACAAUUGUAAAUAAACAUCCAGAAUGCCAUGAGUGAUUAUGAGUGCACAGACUGGAAUACCUCUAAAUAAUUAAUAAACAUUAUUAUUAAUGGCCUUUUA